GAGGCAGAGGAGAAGACAAUGGGAGGUAUCUUACUUCCAUCUACAGGUCAAUCGAAACCUUAAGGAGGUUAAGUCAUUGUUGUGGCUGAAAGGGGAAUUAUUGGGAAAAACAAAGUUGAUAUCACUGUCCCUAUAAACUGGAGCACAAAUCAUUUACUCCACAGGUACGCUGGAACUGAGGUGGAGUUCAACGAUGUGAAACAUCUCAUUCUUAAGGAAGAUGAUAUUGGCCUUUCUUAGUUUUUUAUCUUUUAUUUAUGUAUUUAUGAUGUUAUUUAAAUAUUUUGGAUGUUUCAAAUUUGGUAGGAUAAUGCUUUUGAAUUUUUAAAA